UACGGAGGGUGCGAGCGUUGUCCGGAAUCACUGGGCGUAAAGGGCGCGUAGGCGGCCGUGUAAGUCACUUGUGAAAUCCCGGGGCUCAACUCCGGGGCUGCAGGUGAGACUGCGUGGCUAGAGCACGGUAGAGGCGAGUGGAAUUCCCGGUGUAGCGGUGGAAUGCGUAGAUAUCGGGAAGAACACCGGUGGCGAAGGCGGCUCGCUGGGCCGUUGCUGACGCUGAGGCGCGAAAGCGUAGAGAGCAAACAGG
rnacentral:rRNA from 1 species